AAAGACUUAGUCCUAACCUUACUAUUGGUUUUUGCUAGACAUAUACAUGCAAGUAUCCGCACCCCAGUGAAAAUGCCCCUAAGCCUUUACCCAACAAGCAAAAGGAGCAGGUAUCAGGCACACCCACGGUAGCCCAAGACGCCUUGCUAAGCCACACCCCCACGGGUACUCAGCAGUAAUUAACCUUAAGCAAUAAGUGUAAACUUGACUUAGCCAUAGCAAUUCCCCAGGGUUGGUAAAUCUUGUGCCAGCCACCGCGGUCAUACAAGAAACCCGAAUCAAUAGCUGCCCGGCGUAAAGAGUGGCCAUAUGUUAUCUACUUUAGCUAAGAUCAAAAUGCAACUAAGCUGUCAUAAGCCAAAGAUACACUUAAGUCCAACCUAAAACCAUCUUAGCCCAAUGACCAAUUUAAACCCACGAAAGCCAGGGCACAAACUGGGAUUAGAUACCCCACUAUGCCUGGCCUUAAAUCUAGAUACCCCAAUACCCACAUAUCCGCCUGAGAACUACGAGCACAAACGCUUAAAACUCUAAGGACUUGGCGGUGCCUCAAACCCACCUAGAGGAGCCUGUUCUAUAACCGAUAAUCCACGAUUCACCCAACCACCCCUUGCCAACACAGCCUACAUACCGCCGUCGCCAGCCCACCUUACAUGAAAGAACAAUAGUGAGCUCAACAGUCACCGCUAACAAGACAGGUCAAGGUAUAGCCCAUGGGGUGGAAGAAAUGGGCUACAUUUUCUAAAAUAGAACAUAAACGAAAAAGGACGUGAAAUCCGCCCUUGGAAGGAGGAUUUAGCAGUAAAGUAAGAUCAUACUCUCCUAAGCCUACUUUAAGACGGCCCUGGGGCACGUACAUACCGCCCGUCACCCUCUUCACAAGCUACCAACAUCGAUAAAUAACACCUGCUUCUAGCCAAAGACGAGGUAAGUCGUAACAAGGUAAGCGUACCGGA
rnacentral:ncRNA from 1 species